rnacentral:misc_RNA from 1 species
GUGAAUCAUCAAAUUUUUGAACGCAAAUUGCACUCUCCUCUGAUAGGAUGCCUGUUUCAGGGUCAGCCUAUAAAAAAUCGACAUCGUUGCUGUUCCGUGGUGGCGUUCGUCGGAAAUUGGGACAUCUUAAAUCCUUCUGAUUUAAGUGACUUAAAAUUUGCUUUUGGUUCCAUGGACGUUUCUAAGUUCUAUCUCUUUACACGUCUAAGGUAUCGAUUUUUACUAGACGUGAUCACCAUAUCGGAUCGCG